CGAGUUUGAAUUUCUGCUUAUCAUUAAUUUCGCUUCCGAACGUAAUUUUAUUGAUUUGGCAUCUUCUGGAUUAUAUAUUAUUUUUAAUAUAUUUUUCCAGUAUUUUACUUUGAGAAAACUAGAGUGUUUCAAACAGGCUUUUGCCUUGAAUACUACAGCAUGGAAUAAUGAAGUAGGACUAUUGGUUCUAUUUUGUUGGUUAUCGAACCAUAGUAAUGGUUAAUAGGAGCAGUUGGGGGCAUUCGUAUUUAACUGUCAGAGGUGAAAUUCUUAGAUUUGUUAAAGACAAACUACUGCGAAAGA
rnacentral:rRNA from 1 species